CGGGGGGAGCAAGCGUUGUUCGGAUUUACUGGGCGUAAAGGGCGCGUAGGCGGCCACCGCAAGUCGACUGUGAAAUCUCCGGGCUUAACCCGGAAAGGUCAGCCGAUACUGCGGGGCUAGAGUGCAGAAGGGGCAACUGGAAUCCUCGGUGUAGCGGUGAAAUGCGUAGAUAUCGAGAGGAACACCUGCGGCGAAGGCGGGUUGCUGGGCUGACACUGACGCUGAGGCGCGAAAGCUAGGGGAGCGAACGGGAUUAGAUACCCCGGUAGUCCUAGCCUUAAACGAUGAAUGCUUGGUGUCUGGGGUUUUAUAGUCCCCGGGUGCCGUCGCUAACGCUUUAAGCAUUCCGCCUGGGGAGUACGGUCGCAAGACUG
rnacentral:rRNA from 1 species